rnacentral:lncRNA from 1 species
CUAAUUUCAAUUCUCUUGCCGUAAAUUCAAUUUUCAUAAAUACAUGGUUAAAAAUGCAAUUAAUUGAAAUACGUAUUUACAUACAUGUCGGCAUGAGUAUUAUACAUUUGAAAGAGUAUCUAUUUGAUGUAUUUCACAUGUAUUUCCAAUUUAUUACAAGUGGAGCAAGUGGAGGAAAAUAAUGUUGAAAAGUCAAAAAUAGUGACUGCCUCAAGCAAGAAGCAGCUGUCAGUAAAAUAAUCAUAACUUGAGCUUCAGACAUUGGAUCGAGGUGAUUCAAGCUGGAUUGGAAAUAUAAGGAAAUUUUCUACAAUUUCAUGUUUUGGAAGAAGUCAAAUUCGUAUCACAAGGCAGCCAAAAUUACCGUGAAAAGUCCAGCUUGUUACCUGCCGGAUACAGCUUUACCUGUGAAGCAGCACUUAUUGUUUUUGUCAUAUCUGGAGUUAUAUAGAUCCAAUGAACCUGAUAUUUGAACCAAUGGAAAGCUAACUCAAGUGGAAAUAAUUUAUCUGUUGAUCAUAAGUCCAAAUUCGCUGCACAAUAUAUCUGAAAAUUGGCAUCAAGUUGCAUGUUCCAGCUGUCUUGAAGCUGGACAGAAACAAGUUGCAUUGCCUACUUGAAUUUUGGAUGUUCCUUUGCCUAUAAAAGGGGACCUUGGCCACGAUUUUGAAGCAUCAAUCCUCUCCAUCAUAUUCUAGUUUCCUUCAUUUUCUUUGUAACAUUUCACUAUGUAUUUCUAAACAUUUAGCUAGAGCUAAGGGUGAAACUUUGAUGAAUGUUUAGUAUUGUCUUUGAUCUUUCAUUUUGUUCUUCAAUGUUCAUCUUCUUACUUGGUUGAAGUUUGUGUUCUACAAAUGGUUUUGGUUUGUUAAAGACUUUGAUUUAUUGUUGACAAUUUUGGCACAAUAAAUGCUUAGAUAAUCUCUACAUUCCAACAACUUAUUUUGACAUAUUCUCUCAAACAAUUAUCAAGAUCUAUCUUUUAGUAUAUUUGUGGUUAAUGUUUUAUCUUCCAUAUGAGAUGACUCCUUAGUUGAUUUUCAUAUGAGUUAAAUUAAAGAUCAAGGGCAAUUUCUACUCAUUUAUCCGAAGUGAAUCCCCGACGCUCUAGUGUUCGUCUCAAUUGUAUUUCCACCAACCAUUUAUUACUCAUAGAAUAGUUUAUUUCCUUCCAAUUCCCUGUGGUUCGACCUCGGACUUCCGAGAUUUACUACUUGCGACAACCUGCACUUG